rnacentral:rRNA from 11 species
CAGGACUACAAACCUACCUUAAAGGCACCAGAUCUUACUUGAGCUUGGAAGCUAAGUAGGAUCAGCUCUGGUUAGGACUUGGAUACCAGGUGUUUUAGCCUAUACUUCAGAGCAGUGGUUCUCA